rnacentral:misc_RNA from 1 species
CUGGCACUCGCUUUAUUUUUCUUUGCGCCGAGUUGCCCCCUCUCUCUCCUCAUCAUUGCCGCCUGCUCGCCUCAUUCGUUCGCUUUGAAGUUCGCGCUGUCGACAUCCGCCCCACCUUUAGAAACACUCCACAUCAAGCAAAAUCACCACACGCAAGCGAAAAAAAAAAGAAAUCAACGAAAUGCUCCGCUUCGUUCCUCGGCGGCUCGCCAUCGGCGCGUAUUCCAUGUUCAUGAUUGAGCAGAAGAACAACCCGAAGCUCAAGGGCCUCUCCGUGAGCGACCGCGGGAAGAUGACGUCGAAGCUGUACAAAUCCCUGAGUGCGAGCGACAAGGCGGCCCUUGACAAACGCGCCGCUGCGUGGACCAGCUUCAGGCACAAGAGUCAGAAGACCAAGGUGAAGGGGGAAAAGAAGCCGCGCUCUACGCGCGCGCCGUCGGCGUACGCCAACUUUGUAAAGGCGAAUAUUGGCCGUUUCGAGAAGCUGCCGCACCUCGACCGCAUGAAGGCUGUGGCAAAGUUGUGGAAGCAGCACAACGCGCGCACCCCUAAAUAGGCCUGCAGAGCAUAGUGACCAAAGCUGAUCACGCGAGAACGCUUAUGCGGUUGAUGGAAGACGAUGCAGAGCAGCUGAGUGCAGGAGGAGAACAAGCUGUGAAAGGGGACGGAAGUGGUCUUGGCGAAUGCAGGGCAGGGGGGAGGAGGGGAAGGAGCUUGCCCACAGAACAUGCCCUGGACAACGCGCCUAACAACAGCAACAAGAAUGGCUACGCGCUUGCAAGGAUUGUGUCUUUGACCAUGACGGAGCGGCAGCUUUGAAGCAGAGCCGCACCGACACCUAGCCCGCGGUCGAGUAUCGUCACUGUUUCUUGCUCGUGCGUUUGUCUGAUCCCGGACGUUGCAUCCCCCUUAUCCCCUCCCCUCACCCCACCCUGUAUCGCACGUGGCUCGUCUUGCUGACAUCGACAUGUCUUGUUUCUCCACUCUCAAAGUUCGUAUUCCGUUUAUGCUUGUACUUGUGUCUACUCCACGUUUUUUUUUGUCUCUAUCUUUUUGCGUGCUUGUUACCGUUUCCCGGGCCAUAGAUGCAGUGUGCGCAUGUACGCGUACAUACACUGAAGACUCUCGCUGAGUUUGCCUUUUUUCCCCGUGUUGUUUGUCUUUUCUCUGUUGGAUGUGAGAGGAAGGUAUGCAUGCACGUUUCUUUCUUAGCAUGUGCGUGGACAGGAAGGGGCAGCGGAGCUAGUCUGUCUGUAUAUAUGUGUAUGCGUGCGCUUUUUUGCUGAGCCCUGCUCGACCGACUAGGUCAAUCCGUGUCAUGCGCAUCUAUACUUUCCACCUCGAUAGUUUCUUGAAAGGGAAAGAAGAGGGGGACGACUGUUAACGGACCAUGGGCACUCUUCGCACUCUCUCUCUCUCAUCCUCGCCUCUCUCUCCACGCACAAAGUUUUUCUUUUGAGCAUGUCGCCACGUUUUUUUUUUCUUGUUUCGUGUUGGCUGUCGAGUUUUCGACAGUGUCGUGGAAGCAGCGAAGGGGAUGAUGGGUGGGGUGGGUGGGGCGGGACAACGUGCGAGUGUGUCUUUCUAUACACACGACCCUGUGAAGCGGUAGUCCUCUUCUUGCUUCAUCAACAGCGUCUACGCCUUUUUUUUUUGUGCGAGAUCCACGUUCGCUGCGGGUGCGCGUGCCUCCGACUGUUUACUGCAGUUCGUCGCCGUAUCGCUGCAAACGUCAACAGGCACUUAAGGAGCUUGUAGAAUGAACUGCGCGCUCGAGAGGGGAAAGAGAGAGUUGCAGGCAGGAAGCGGGAGAGAAGACACCUCCAGGGCGCCCGUCCGAGUUGUGUUGUCCAUGUUUCAGCUCCCACUGACCCACUUCAGACACAAAGGACUGCUCUCUGCGGGCAAGUGCCAGCGUAUGUCUUGGUGGUGCGUUGCUUGCGCAGGGACCUUGUGACUGGAAAGCUCGUAAUUGCUGUACACGUCACUGACGACUGAGGAAGAGAGGGCGCAAGAGGAGGAAAGCAGAGAAGAGGUGGUUAGAAGAGGAACCAAACAAGAUGAGCUGCGAGGUGCAACAUGCGGACUGGCAUCUCGGGUGACGCAGAGGGUGGAGAAAGAGAGAGUAGCGCGCAUCCUUUCCCACAGCACGCAGAUGCGCAUGGCGCGCGAGAGAUUUUUCUCCACCCCAUUCAGCACAUUGAUUGUUAUUUUCCUCUCUGCGCGACCCUGUCGUGCUUCGCACGGUUUCGCUUCGUUCCUCUUUUUCUUUGGAUCGUGAUCCAACAGGGCUCAUGGUCCCCCUUUCGAGCGCUCGAGUAGUUCUUCCGUUGUCGCGGAAGCAGUUUUUUUUUUGUGUGAGCCUCUUUUUCUCUCUGCGUUCGCUUUCUCUGCAGCAUCUAAAGCUCUCCAUGGUUGUAGGACCGUCCGGCCUUUUCUGUCCCCUUCCCCCGCCCCUCACACCCCUGCCCUCUUUCUCCUCAGUCUAGACGCCAUCCUUAGAAUGAAGUCCCCCCCCCCUGG